rnacentral:rRNA from 1 species
AUUGAACGCUGGCGGCAGGCUUAACACAUGCAAGUCGAACGGUAGCAGGAGAAAGCUUGCUUUCUUGCUGACGAGUGGCGGACGGGUGAGUAAUGCUUGGGAAUCUGGCUUAUGGAGGGGGAUAACUACGGGAAACUGUAGCUAAUACCGCGUAGAAUCGGAAGAUGAAAGUGCGGGACCGCGAGGCCGCAUGCCAUGAGAUGAGCCCAAGUGGGAUUAGGUAGUUGGUGGGGUAAAGGCCUACCAAGCCUGCGAUCUCUAGCUGGUCUGAGAGGAUGGCCAGCCACACUGGAACUGAGACACGGUCCAGACUCCUACGGGAGGCAGCAGUGGGGAAUAUUGCGCAAUGGGGGGAACCCUGACGCAGCCAUGCCGCGUGAAUGAAGAAGGCCUUCGGGUUGUAAAGUUCUUUCGGUAUUGAGGAAGGGAUGUGUGCUAAUAGUACACGUCAUAGACUUAAA